GAGCUCAGUCAGUAGAGCGUACGCUUGAUAAGCGCAAAGUUGCAAGUUCAAUUCCAUGUGUAUG
rnacentral:tRNA from 1 species